rnacentral:rRNA from 1 species
UACGUAGGGUGCAAGCGUUUAAUCGGAAUUACUGGGCGUAAAGCGUGCGCAGGCGGUUUUGUAAGUCUGUCGUGAAAUCCCCGGGCUCAACCUGGGAAUUGCGAUGGAGACUGCAAGGCUAGAAUCUGGCAGAGGGGGGGUAGAAUUCCACGUGUAGCAGUGAAAUGCGUAGAGAUGUGGAGGAACACCGAUGGCGAAGGCAGCCCCCUGGGUCAAGAUUGACGCUCAUGCACGAAAGGCGUGGGGAGCAAACGAGG